UACGUAGGGGGCAAGCGUUGUCCGGAAUCAUUGGGCGUAAAGAGCGUGUAGGCGGUCCGGUAAGUCGGCUGUGAAAGUCCAGGGCUCAACCCUGGGAUGCCGGUCGAUACUGCCGGACUAGAGUUCGGAAGAGGCGAGUGGAAUUCCCGGUGUAGCGGUGAAAUGCGCAGAUAUCGGGAGGAACACCUAUGGCGAAGGCAGCUCGCUGGGACGUUACUGACACUGAGGCGCGAAAGCGUGGGGAGCGAACAGG
rnacentral:rRNA from 1 species